rnacentral:tRNA from 1 species
GCAUGAAUGGUGUAGCGGUAACAUUCAACCCUUCCAUUGCAGUUGCGAGGUUGAGCUCGGGGUUCGACUCCCCGUUCAUGCA